rnacentral:rRNA from 1 species
UACGUAGGGUGCGAGCGUUAAUCGGAAUUACUGGGCGUAAAGCGUGCGCAGGCGGUCCGCUAAGACAGGUGUGAAAUCCCUGGGCUCAACCUAGGAAUUGCGCUUGUGACUGGCGGGCUAGAGGACGGUAGAGGGGGGUGGAAUUCCUGGUGUAGCAGUGAAAUGCGUAGAGAUCAGGAGGAACACUGAUGGCGAAGGCAGCCCCCUGGGCCUGUACUGACGCUCAGGCACGAAAGCGUGGGGAGCAAACAGG